rnacentral:rRNA from 1 species
GUAAAGAGCUCGUAGGCGGUUUGUCGCGUCUGCUGUGAAAACUGGAGGCUCAACCUCCAGCCUGCAGUGGGUACGGGCAGACUAGAGUGCGGUAGGGGAGAUUGGAAUUCCUGGUGUAGCGGUGGAAUGCGCAGAUAUCAGGAGGAACACCGAUGGCGAAGGCAGAUCUCUGGGCCGUAACUGACGCUGAGGAGCGAAAGCAUGGGGAGCGAACAGGAUUAGAUACCCUGGUAGUCCAUGCCGUAAACGUUGGGAACUAGAUGUAGGGACCAUUCCACGGUUUCUGUGUCGCAGCUAACGCAUUAAGUUCCCCGCCUGGGGAGUACGGCCGCAAGGCUAAAACUCAAAGGAAUUGACGGGGGCCCGCACAAGCGGCGGAGCAUGCGGAUUAAUUCGAUGCAACGCGAAGAACCUUACCAAGGCUUGACAUAUACGAGAACGGGCCAGAAAUGGUCAACUCUUUGGACACUCGUAAACAGGUGGUGCAUGGUUGUCGUCAGCUCGUGUCGUGAGAUGUUGGGUUAAGUCCCGCAACGAGCGCAACCCUCGUUCUUUGUUGCCAGCACGUCAUGGUGGGAACUCAAAGGAGACUGCCGGGGUCAACUCGGAGGAAGGCGGGGA